CUAGCUACAGGCUUAACACAUGCAAGUCGAGGUGCAGCAUGGUCUUAGCUUGCUAAGGCCGAUGGCGACCGGCGCACGGGUGAGUAACGCGUAUCCAACCUGCCUUACACUCUUGGACAGCCUUCUGAAAGGGAGAUUAAUACAAGAUGUUAUCAUGAGUAAGCAUUUUCACAUGAUUAAAGGUUUACCGGUGUAAGAUGGGGAUGCGUUCCAUUAGAUAGUAGGCGGGGUAACGGCCCACCUAGUCUUCGAUGGAUAGGGGUUCUGAGAGGAAGGUCCCCCACAUUGGAACUGAGACACGGUCCAAACUCCUACGGGAGGCAGCAGUGAGGAAUAUUGGUCAAUGGACGAGAGUCUGAACCAGCCAAGUAGCGUGAAGGAUGAAGGUUCUAUGGAUUGUAAACUUCUUUUAUACGGGAAUAAACGGAUCCACGUGUGGAUUUUUGCAUGUACCGUAUGAAUAAGGAUCGGCUAACUCCGUGCCAGCAGCCGCGGUAAUACGGAGGAUCCGAGCGUUAUCCGGAUUUAUUGGGUUUAAAGGGAGCGUAGAUGGGUUGUUAAGUCAGUUGUGAAAGUUUGCGGCUCAACCGUAAAAUUGCAAUUGAUACUGGCAGUCUUGAGUACAGUUGAGGUAGGCGGAAUUCGUGGUGUAGCGGUGAAAUGCUUAGAUAUCACGAAGAACUCCGAUUGCGAAGGCAGCUUACUAACCUGUAACUGACAUUGAUGCUCGAAAGUGUGGGUAUCAAACAGGAUUAGAUACCCUGGUAGUCCACACGGUAAACGAUGAAUACUCGCUGUAGGCGAUAUACAGUCUGCGGCCAAGCGAAAGCAUUAAGUAUUCCACCUGGGGAGUACGCCGGCAACGGUGAAACUCAAAGGAAUUGACGGGGGCCCGCACAAGCGGAGGAACAUGUGGUUUAAUUCGAUGAUACGCGAGGAACCUUACCCGGGCUUAAAUUGCAACCGAAUAUGGCGGAAACGCUAUAGCUAGCAAUAGCGGUUGUGAAGGUGCUGCAUGGUUGUCGUCAGCUCGUGCCGUGAGGUGUCGGCUUAAGUGCCAUAACGAGCGCAACCCUUGCCGAUAGUUACUAACAGGUCAUGCUGAGGACUCUGUCGGGACUGCCAUCGUAAGAUGUGAGGAAGGUGGGGAUGACGUCAAAUCAGCACGGCCCUUACGUCCGGGGCUACACACGUGUUACAAUGGGGGGUACAGAGGGCUGCUACCACGCAAGUGGAUGCCAAUCCCAAAAACCUCUCUCAGUUCGGAUUGAAGUCUGCAACCCGACUUCAUGAAGCUGGAUUCGCUAGUAAUCGCGCAUCAGCCACGGCGCGGUGAAUACGUUCCCGGGCCUUGUACACACCGCCCGUCAAGCCAUGGGAGCCGGGGGUACCUGAAGUGCGUAACCGCAAGGAGCGCCCUAGGGUAAAACUGGAG
rnacentral:rRNA from 1 species